GUCCACGCCGUAAACGAUGAGUGCUAGAUGCUGCGGGUAUUGACCCCCGCGGUGUCGAAGCUAACGCGUUAAGCACUCCGCCUGGGGAGUACGGCCGCAAGGCUAAAACUCAAAGGAAUUGACGGGGGCCCGCACAAGCGGUGGAGCAUGUGGUUCAAUUCGACGCAACGCGCAGAACCUUACCUGGGUUAAAUCCACUCGAACUUAGCAGAAAUGCUUUGGUGCCUUUCGGGGAGCGAGUGAGAAGGUGCUGCAUGGCUGUCU
rnacentral:rRNA from 1 species